GGUAGCGUUGCCGAGCGGUCCAAGGCGCUGGUUUAAGGCACCAGUCUCUUCGGGGGCAUGGGUUCGAAUCCCAUCGCUGCCA
rnacentral:tRNA from 2 species